rnacentral:rRNA from 1 species
GCGAAAAGUAUCGGGGAGCUGGCAACAAGCUUUGAUCCGGUAAUGUCCGAAUGGGGAAACCCACCUCGUAAGAGGUAUCGUGCAGUGAAUACAUAGCUGUACGAGGCGAACGCGGUGAACUGAAAUAUCUAAGUAACCGUAGGAAAAGAAAUCAACCGAGAUUCCCUGAGUAGUGACGAGCGAACGGGGAACAGCCCAAAAGUCGAUAUGGUUUUAGCAAAACGGUCCUGGAAAGACCGGCCAUAGAAGGUGAUAGCCCUGUAUGCGAAAGGGCCAUAUCGAUGAAAAAUGAGUAGGGCGGGGCACGAGAAACCCUGUCUGAACAUGGGGGGACCAUCCUCCAAGGCU